UACGGAGGGGGCUAGCGUUGUUCGGAAUUACUGGGCGUAAAGCGCGCGUAGGCGGCUUUGCAAGUCGGGUGUGAAAGCCCUCGGCUCAACCGAGGAAGUGCGCCCGAAACUGCAGAGCUUGAGUACCGGAGAGGAUGGCGGAAUUCCCCAAGUAGAGGUGAAAUUCGUAGAUAUGGGGAGGAACACCGGUGGCGAAGGCGGCCAUCUGGACGGAUACUGACGCUGAGACGCGAAAGCGUGGGUAGCAAACAGG
rnacentral:rRNA from 1 species